rnacentral:misc_RNA from 1 species
CAGAGUUGUCCUAACUCCCAAACCCAUGUGAACAUACCGACCGUUGCCUCGGCAGGUCAAGGCUCGCGUAGCGUGCCCGCACCCUGCCGGCGGCCCACGAAAUACUGUUUUUCUUCUUGAAUUCUGAACGUGAAAUAAAAAUAAGUUA